rnacentral:rRNA from 1 species
AUGCACGCUGGCGGCGUGCCUAAUCCAUGCAAGUCGCGCGAACGGACGAGAAGCUUGCUUCUCUGAUGUUAGCGGCGGACGGGUGAGUAACACGUGGAUAACCUACCUAUAAGACUGGGAUAACUUCGGGAAACCGGAGCUAAUACCGGAUGAUAUUUUGAACCGCAUGGUUCAAAAGCGAAAGACGGUCUUGCUGUCACUUAUAGAUGGAUCCGCGCUGCAUUAGCUAGUUGGUAAGGUAACGGCUUACCAAGGCAACGAUGCAUAGCCGACCUGAGAGGGUGAUCGGCCACACUGGAACUGAGACACGGUCCAGACUCCUACGGGAGGCAGCAGUAGGGAAUCUUCCGCAAUGGGCGAAAGCCUGACGGAGCAACGCCGCGUGAGUGAUGAAGGUCUUCGGAUCGUAAAACUCUGUUAUUAGGGAAGAACAUAUGUGUAAGUAACUGUGCACAUCUUGACGGUACCUAAUCAGAAAGCCACGGCUAACUACGUG